rnacentral:rRNA from 1 species
GAUGAACGCUGGCGGCGUGCUUAACACAUGCAAGUCGAACGAGAAAUGUAGACGGAAACCUUCGGGCGGAAGCCUUCAUUUCGAGUGGCGGACGGGUGAGUAACGCGUGGGUAACCUGCCUCAUACAGGGGGAUAACAGUUGGAAACGACUGUUAAUACCGCAUAAGACCACAGCAUCGCAUGAUGCGGGGGUAAAAACUCCGGUGGUAUGAGAUGGACCCGCGUUCGAUUAGCCAGUUGGCGGGGUAACGGCCCACCAAAGCGACGAUCGAUAGCCGAUCUGAGAGGAUGACCGGCCACAUUGGGGCUGAGACACGGCCCAAACUCCUACGGGAGGCAGCAGUGGGGAAUAUUGCACAAUGGGGGAAACCCUGAUGCAGCGACGCCGCGUGAGUGAAGAAGUACUUCGGUAUGUAAAGCUCUAUCAGCAGGGAAGAAAAUGACGGUACCUGAGUAAGAAGCCCCGGCUAACUACGUG